GACGUAGGGAGCAAGCGUUGUCCGGAUUUACUGGGCGUAAAGAGCGCGUAGGCGGCUCGUUAAGUGUGAAGUGAAAUCUCCAGUGCUCAACACGGAAACUGCUUUACAUACUGGCGAGCUUGAGGAAUGCAGAGGAAACUGGAAUUUCUGGUGUAGCGGUGAAAUGCGUUGAUAUCAGAAGGAACACCAAUGGCGAAGGCAGGUUUCUGGGCAUUAUCUGACGCUGAGGCGCGAAAGCGUGGGUAGCAAACAGG
rnacentral:rRNA from 1 species